rfam:Myotis lucifugus cont2.15628, whole genome shotgun sequence.
GUGUGCAGUGCCUUUCACAAGAAGGUGCCAUUCAUGUGGGCUAAAAUAUGAAUGGCACAAUUUUGUGAAGGGUAAUGUACAA